rnacentral:rRNA from 1 species
CAUAGAGUAAGUUAUUAAGGGCGCACGGUGGAUGCCUUGGAACUAGAACCCGAUGAAGGACUUUACUAACGACGAUAUGCUUUGGGGAGCUGUAAG